AACGCGUGAGGAACCUGCCUCAAAGAGGGGGACAACAGUUGGAAACGACUGCUAAUACCGCAUAAGCCCACAGGUCGGCAUCGACCGGAGGGAAAAGGAGCAAUCCGCUUUGAGAUGGCCUCGCGUCCGAUUAGCUAGUUGGUGAGGUAACGGCCCACCAAGGCAACGAUCGGUAGCCGGACUGAGAGGUUGAACGGCCACAUUGGGACUGAGACACGGCCCAGACUCCUACGGGAGGCAGCAGUGGGGAAUAUUGCACAAUGGGGGAAACCCUGAUGCAGCGACGCCGCGUGGAGGAAGAAGGUCUUCGGAUUGUAAACUCCUGUUGUUGAGGAAGAUAAUGACGGUACUCAACAAGGAAGUGACGGCUAACUACGUGCCAGCAGCCGCGGUAAAACGUAGGUCACAAGCGUUGUCCGGAAUUACUGGGUGUAAAGGGAGCGCAGGCGGGAAGACAAGUUGGAAGUGAAAUCUAUGGGCUCAACCCAUAAACUGCUUUCAAAACUGUUUUUCUUGAGUAGUGCAGAGGUAGGCGGAAUUCCCGGUGUAGCGGUGGAAUGCGUANAUAUCGGGAGGAACACCAGUGGCGAAGGCGGCCUACUGGGCACCAACUGACGCUGAGGCUCGAAAGUGUGGGUAGCAAACAGGAUUAGAUACCCCGGUAGUCCACACCGUAAACGAUGAUUACUAGGUGU
rnacentral:rRNA from 1 species